GUGAGGAAUUUUCCGCAAUGGGCGAAAGCCUGACGGAGCAAUGCCGCGUGAAGGAUGAAGGCCUAUGGGUUGUAAACUUCUUUUCUCAGAAAAGAAUUAUGACGGUAUCUGAGGAAUAAGCAUCGGCUAACUCUGUGCCAGCAGCCGCGGUAAGACAGAGGAUGCAAGCGUUAUCCGGAAUGAUUGGGCGUAAAGCGUCUGUAGGUUGUUUAAAAAGUAUUCUGUCAAAGAUUAGGGCUUAACCCUAGAUAGGCAGAAUAAACUUUUAAGCUAGAGUUUGGUAGAGGCAGAGGGAAUUCCCGGUGGAGCGGUGAAAUGCGUAGAUAUCGGGAGGAACACCAAAGGCGAAGGCACUCUGCUGGGCCAAUACUAACACUGAGAGACGAAAGCGAGGGGAGCAAAUGGGAUUAGAUACACUAGUAGUCC
rnacentral:rRNA from 1 species